UACAGAGACUGCAAGCGUAUUCGGAUUCACUGGGCGUAAAGGGUGCGCAGGCGCCUGUGUGUGAGGCGUGAAAGCCCGAUGCUUAACAUCGGAAUUGCACCUCAAACUACAUGGCUAGAGCAUUGGAGAGGGUAGCGGAAUUCACGGUGUAGCAGUGAAAUGCGUAGAUAUCGUGAGGAACACCAGAGGCGAAGGCGGCUACCUGGACAAUUG
rnacentral:rRNA from 1 species